GAGACCGGCGCACGGGUGCGUAACGCGUAUGCAAUCUACCUUUUACAGAGGGAUAGCCCAGAGAAAUUUGGAUUAAUACCUCAUAGUAUUAUGACUCGGCAUCGAGAUAUAAUUAAAGUCACAACGGUAAAAGAUGAGCAUGCGUCCCAUUAGCUAGUUGGUAAGGUAACGGCUUACCAAGGCUACGAUGGGUAGGGGUCCUGAGAGGGAGAUCCCCCACACUGGUACUGAGACACGGACCAGACUCCUACGGGAGGCAGCAGUGAGGAAUAUUGGACAAUGGGCGCAAGCCUGAUCCAGCCAUGCCGCGUGCAGGAUGACGGUCCUAUGGAUUGUAAACUGCUUUUAUACGAGAAGAAACACUACUUCGUGAAGUAGCUUGACGGUAUCGUAAGAAUAAGGAUCGGCUAACUCCGUGCCAGCAGCCGCGGUAAUACGGAGGAUCCAAGCGUUAUCCGGAAUCAUUGGGUUUAAAGGGUCCGUAGGCGGUUUAAUAAGUCAGUGGUGAAAGCCCAUCGCUCAACGGUGGAACGGCCAUUGAUACUGUUAGACUUGAAUUAUUAGGAAGUAACUAGAAUAUGUAGUGUAGCGGUGAAAUGCUUAGAGAUUACAUGGAAUACCAAUUGCGAAGGCAGGUUACUACUAAUGGAUUGACGCUGAUGGACGAAAGCGUGGGUAGCGAACAGGAUUAGAUACCCUGGUAGUCCACGCCGUAAACGAUGGAUACUAGCUGUUGGGAGCAAUCUCAGUGGCUAAGCGAAAGUGAUAAGUAUCCCACCUGGGGAGUACGUUCGCAAGAAUGAAACUCAAAGGAAUUGACGGGGGCCCGCACAAGCGGUGGAGCAUGUGGUUUAAUUCGAUGAUACGCGAGGAACCUUACCAAGGCUUAAAUGUAGUUUGACCGGUUUGGAAACAGAUCUUUCGCAAGACAAAUUACAAGGUGCUGCAUGGUUGUCGUCAGCUCGUGCCGUGAGGUGUCAGGUUAAGUCCUAUAACGAGCGCAACCCCUGUUGUUAGUUGCCAGCGAGUCAAGUCGGGAACUCUAACAAGACUGCCAGUGCAAACUGUGAGGAAGGUGGGGAUGACGUCAAAUCAUCACGGCCCUUACGCCUUGGGCUACACACGUGCUACAAUGGCCGGUACAGAGAGCAGCCACUGGGCGACCAGGAGCGAAUCUAUAAAACCGGUCACAGUUCGGAUCGGAGUCUGCAACUCGACUCCGUGAAGCUGGAAUCGCUAG
rnacentral:rRNA from 1 species